rnacentral:rRNA from 1 species
GGUGCUGCAUGGCUGUCGUCAGCUCGUGUCGUGAGAUGUUGGGUUAAGUCCCGUAACGAGCGCAACCCUUGUCCUUAGUUACCAGCACGUUAUGGUGGGCACUCUAAGGAGACUGCCGGUGACAAACCGGAGGAAGGUGGGGGAUGACGUCAAGUCAUCAUGGCCCCUACGGCCUGGGCUACACACGUGCUACAAUGGUCGGUACAAAGGGUUGCCAAGCCGCGAGGUGGAGCUAAUCCCAUAAAACCGAUCGUAGUCCGGAUCGCAGUCUGCAACUCGACUGCGUGAAGUCGGAAUCGCUAGUAAUCGUGAAUCAGAAUGUCACGAUGAAUACGUUCCCGGGCCUU